rnacentral:rRNA from 1 species
GCCACGCCCGCUCAAGAAACUACGAAAGGAAUUGACGGGGCCCGCACAAGCGGAGGAGCAUGUGGUUUAAUUCGAUGAUACGCGAGGAACCUUACCUGGGCUCGAACGUAAGAUGACUGUAGGUGAAAGCUUACAUCUCUUCGGAGCAUUUUACGAGGUGCUGCAUGGUUGUCGUCAGCUCGUGCCGUGAGGUGUCGGGUUAAGUCCCAUAACGAGCGCAACCCCUACCUUUAGUUGCCAUCAGGUUAAGCUGGGGACUCUAAAGGAACUGCCUACGCAAGUAGUGAGGAAGGCGGGGAUGACGUCAAAUCAGCACGGCCCUUACGUCCAGGGCUACACACGUGCUACAAUGGCCGAUACAGAGGGCAGCUACCUGGUGACAGGAUGCAAAUCUCCAAAGUCGGUCUCAGUUCGGAUCGGAGUCUGCAACCCGACUCCGUGAAGUUGGAUUCGCUAGUAAUCGCGCAUCAGCCAUGGCGCGGUGAAUACGUUCCCGGGCCUU